rnacentral:lncRNA from 12 species
GGGUAAUCCUAUAUCCAAAGAGCAGAAACAGAUGUAUGAAAAUUUAAAAUCUCUGAUAAGUGAUGGCUAUUGACACGGUCCAGUGGAGCUCGGGCUAGCUCUUUAGAGGUACACCAGUGCCAUGCAGGUGUGGGGAACUGCCCCAGGGAAAGACUGCCUGGAGGCAGAACCUCUAGAGCAGCUCUUCAGUGUGGCCCACAUCUAGGAUUGGGUAAAGCAGGCGAGGGAGGCUCUCACAUCCGAGGUUCCGGAGAGUUUCUUACACCCGAAGGGCUCAGAGGCAAAGAGCCCAGAGCACUGCUGCGCUCGGGGUUAAAUAAGGGGGAGAUCAGGGGUGGGUACAAACAAUUGGCCGAUGAAUUGGCCUUAGGGGAGGAGGGGAGGGCAGGGUCUUACAGGGCUACAAACAAUGAGGGAAGCAGGAGGAGGAGAAAGGGUCACAUGGGCCAAUGGGACAUCGAGUAUUAGGGGAUUUCCAAGGGUGGAACAACUAGGGAUUGGCCCAGGGUAAGACUGACAAGGAAAGUGCUGGAACAAGGGGCGGGGUUACAAUGAUGGACAGGGAAGGGACUGGAACAAGGGGCGGGGUUACAAUGAUGGACAGGGAAGGGGCUGGAACAAGGGGCGGGGUUACAAUGAUGGACAGGGAAGGGACUGGAACAAGGGGCGGGGUUACAGUGAUGGACAGGGAAGGGACUGGAACAAGGGGCGGGGUUACAAUGGUGGAAAGGGGUGGGGAAUGCCAAACAAGGUAGUUUCAGGGGUGGAUACAACUUGGGCAUAAACCAACUGGGGAAAACAUAGGGGUACAUAGGAACAAACAUUAUAACAAUAAAAUAAAAUAAAAUAAAAUAAAAUAAAA